rnacentral:rRNA from 1 species
AUUGAACGCUGGCGGCAGGCCUAACACAUGCAAGUCGAGCGGAGCGGCGGACGGGGGCGUAAUGCCUAGGAAUCUGCCUGGGAGUGGGGGAUAACGCCCGGAAAGGGGCGCUAAUACCGCAUACUAUCAGAUGAGCCGAGGUGGGAUUGGCUAGAUGGUGGGGUAAAGGCCUACCAAGGCGACGAUCCGUAACUGGUCUGAGAGGGUGAUCAGUCACACUGGAACUGAGACACGGUCCAGACUCCUACGGGAGGCAGCAGUGGGGAAUAUUGGACAAUGGGCGAAAGCCUGAUCCAGCCAUGCCGCGUGUGUGAAGAAGGUCUUCGGAUUGUAAAGCACUUUAAGUUGGGAGGCGUUACCAACAGAAUAAGCACCGGCUAACUUCGUGCCAGCAGCCGCGGUAAUAC